UUGAUCCCUGCGGUUUGAAAGCAUUUUGAUAUUAGUCCCUCCUUACUUCAAAUGUUAAAAAUCUAGAUACAGUUAAUGGAGUGCCACGUGACCCAAUCAAUUAAAGCCACGUGGCAUAGUAAAAAGCAUAACUUUUUUUAUUAUUACUUUUACCAUUGUCAUUUAUUUAUAUAAUUCAUAUUAUUAUUAUUAUUAUUAUUAUUAUUAUUAUUAUUAUUAAUAAACAAACGAAGAAGAACACGAAGUGUGAUUAUAGAAUCACAAAAAGGAAAAAACCUAACAUAAACAAAUAAAAAAAAGUUUUAAACCCUUUUGCAUGAAGAGAAAUUAAAAUCUAAAAAGAAAAAAAAAAUAUUAAUUUGGGUUUAAUGGCCCAACCCAUAAACAAAUAAAAACCUAACAUUAAGCCCCCACUCCCUAACCCUAGCCGCCGCAUAAUUACUUCUGUUCAAUUUUCUUUCUCUGUUGAGUUAGCAAUUUCCCUGUCAAAAUAAACAAAUUUGCUUCCACCGCUAACAAUCCUUUUCGGCCAUUCCCCGUCACCGUCCGGUCUCCUCUGAUCAUGAAACCACAACCCUUAGACUCAUAUUUUUGUUUCUCGGAUCUAUUUCUUGAUUUUUGUCACCGCCACUUUACAUAUGUUUCCCGGACACACUGUCUUCAACAAAACUCACCACAGUCGCUUCUUCAUGCAUACCACUACCACCACUUUAGUCAAGCUCACAUGCCUUCAUUCUCAGAACCCUAAUCGAAUCCCUCUCACGAAAAUCAUUCUUGAACCCUAAUCUGUAAGCUUAUUCUCGAAUCACUCUCAUGAAGCUUUAAGAACCCUAAUAUAUAAGAAGAAGAAGAAGCAUGCUUUGUUCGUGUGAGAAGAAGAAACAGAAAGGUAUUCAUCGAAAUUUUCACAGAUUCUUCAUUUGUAUUACGAUUUUCAUUCUUUUUCUAUCCUCUCAUUUUCGAUUUUCAACUUUUCCUUUCGAAGUAAACAGGGUAUUUGGAGAGAUUGAAUAGUAUGGCGAAAGUGAAACGAAGUUUAGAUUGUAAUGGUUCUAGGGUGUGAUUUUUAUUUUUGAAAAGUUUUGAUUUUUUUGAGGUUUUGGAUGUUUACACUGCAAAAAUUUUAUUUUUUGUUAUCUGGGUUGUUGCAUGUUUUGGAAAAGAGAGGAUUUUUGUUUGUUAACUUAAUUUGUUUUAUUUGUUUUAUAGAUUGUGUACUUGUGUGUUGGAAUAGAGAUUUUUGUAUGUUAAUUUUGUUUGUUUUUCUUUGUUUUAUGGAUUAUGUAUUUGAGGUGCAUGUGGAUAAUAAUGAUGGGAAGCUUGAAGAGAGUGGAGUUGAUAGAAGCUGCUUUGUUUUCACCUAAGCAGAUUUCCAACCCAGUUUUGUACAAGCUUGUUCAGAGGUAAGAAGGCAUGUGGUUUCUUGUUUGAAUGAGGCAAAGGAAAGACAAGGAUUAGAUAUGCGAGUUUCUUCUCUGGUUGAUGUGAGAUUUAGGAGGAGGGUGUAUGAGCUUAUGUCCCUUUCAAAUAAUAUGUGGAAUUUUAGAAGUAUGAGGGUGUCAAGUGAAUGAGUGGCUUCAUUGGUAGUGUAUGCUCUUCUUAAAUCCUGUUGCUCCUUCCUUCCUUUGCAGAAAAGUAAUUGUUAAUAGAUUGCACCACAAAUUAUUUGGCUCAAGAAAUCAAUGUAAACAAACAAAAACGAAAUGAAGAUUGGUCAUGUUAUGGCUGUUUAGUGGUAAAGGAAGCUGAAUGAAGGGAUGGUUGUUUAGUGCUGAAGGAAGAUGAAUGAAGAGAAGACUAUAUAUUGUUAAAAUUUUGUUCUAAUAAUACCAAAUUGUCCUUCUACUUGGUCUCCAAGAUUUGUUGUUAUUAGUAUAAAUGUGUAAUAAGAUGGGGAGGAGCGUCAAGAGACUUUUGUUCCAAUCCAAACUCUUGGCAUUACACAUAAAGACAAAAUUUGUAAGGAUAAUAAUAUAAAAUCAUUUAGAAGAA